CAGCAGCCGCGGUAAUACGUAGGGUGCGAGCGUUAAUCGGAAUUACUGGGCGUAAAGCGUGCGCAGAGCGGCUUUGCAAGACAGAGGUGAAAUCCCCGGGCUCAACCUGGGAACUGCCUUUGUGACUGCAAGGCUAGAGUACGGCAGAGGGGGAUGGAAUUCCGCGUGUAGCAGUGAAAUGCGUAGAUAUGCGGAGGAACACCGAUGGCGAAGGCAAUCCCCUGGGCCUGUACUGACGCUCAUGCACGAAAGCGUGGGGAGCAAACAGGAUUAGAUACCCUGGUAGUCCACGCCCUAAACGAUGUCAACUGGUUGUUGGACGGCUUGCUGUUCAGUAACGAAGCUACGCGUGAAGUUGACCGCCUGGGGAGUACGGCCGCAAGGUUGAAACUCAAAGAAAUUGACGG
rnacentral:rRNA from 1 species